CAAAAUCCAUUUCACAGCCUCUAGGAUACUUGGAUGAGACACCAACAAUCUCGAUAUCACCUCGGCCGGGCCGCAUGCGUAGCGUAUCAGAUGUCAAGAGGCGGUGUCGGGCACUUGUACGAGCACUUGCAAGCCUCGCGGAUGCAGAUCCCGUCGCCCUUCAUCUUGCUGAAGCACUUGUCGAGGCACGUCUCGGCGUCGCAGCCGUCGGAGUAGAGGAUCUUGUAGCAGGAGUACAAGCCCGGGCCCGGCUCCGGCGCGUGCUUCGGCGGGUGGUGCUCGUGCAAGCCUGAACCCGGCGCCGGCGCUGUGCACAUCCCUGCAGGGAGAAAUGCAUAUCAUGUUAGUGCUACGAACAGCUACUACGGUCGUGUGAUUGAAAAUCAGUGGCACUCACUGCUUAGAGUUGGAGAUAGUUACCUGUUGACAGGAGCACCAUGGCAACAGCGAGGAGCAGUGCUCCGUGGCAGGUCCUCAUGGUCGGUGCUGGUAAAGAUGGGAUCGUUGAUCAAUUGAUUGUCUACUUUAGAUAGUGACCGAGAGCAUAU
rnacentral:lncRNA from 1 species